UAAAAUAAUGGUUCUCUAGGUUGAGUUUUAAAAAAAAUUUAUUUUUAAAAUUCCUUGGAGAAUUCCAAUCACCCUAUGUGCACUGUAAAUGUUUUUCGAGUAUUAUUAAGAAUACUCGACCAUAUUUAAAAACCCCAAUUUAUUUAAUUUGUCUGAAUAAUUUUUUUAUAAAAAAAAUA
rnacentral:misc_RNA from 1 species